rnacentral:rRNA from 1 species
GCUAACGGCCAUACCACCCUGAACACGCCCGAUCUCGUCCGAUCUCGGAAGCUAAGCAGGGUCGGGCCUGGUUAGUACUUGGAUGGGAGACCGCCUGGGAAUACCAGGUGCUGUAAGCU